rnacentral:rRNA from 1 species
GACGAACGCUGGCGGCGUGCUUAACACAUGCAAGUCGAACGGAAAGGCCCUGCUUUUGUUGGGUGCUCGAGUGGCGAACGGGUGUGUAACACGUGAGUAACCUGCGCUUUGCGUUGGGAUAACUCCAGGAAACUGGGGCUAAUACCUGAUAGGAGCUCCUGCUGCAUGGUGGGCGUUGGAAAGUUUCGGCGGUUGGGGAUGGACUCGGGGCUUAUCAGCUAGUUGGUGGGGUAGUGGCUUACCCAGGCUUCGAUGGGUAGCCGGCCUGAGAGGAUGACCGGCGACAUUGGGACGGAGCCAGGGCCAAGAGUACUAAGAGAGGCCGCAGUGGGGAAUGGGGGACAAUGGGGGGAAGUCUGAUCCAGUGGUCCCGAGUGCAGGACGAAGGCCCUCGGUGCGGAAACUGGGCUUGUGGGUAACGAAAAGGCUCUGGCUAAGACCAGGGGCGCGUGACGGUAACGGAAAAAUAAGCACCGGCUAACUACGUG